rnacentral:lncRNA from 1 species
CCGCCGCCGCACCGCCGCUCGCACGCCCGCGACAGCCGCCCGCUCGUGCGCCCGCCGUCGUCCCGCCGUCUGCGCGCGCCCAGGCGUUCCUCCCCCGUGCGAUCCAGCUCUGCUCAGCUCGGUUCCGCCCUGUUCCGCCCCUGUCCGGCCACCUCCGGCCACCGCCUAGCCCCGCCAGACCUCCCCCGCAACCCCCUCGCCCUCCACCGGCUUCCCCUUGCCGCCCUAGCCGCCGGAGCAGCCCCGAUCAGCUCCGUCCAGCAGACCCAUGAAGUGGGUUUCCAACACUUCGGGCCUACUUUUGGGCCGUUUCCGGGCCCCGGAUCCGUGAAUCGCUUUGGGAACAAUCGUUCCUCGCGUCGCCG